UCAUCCCUGCGUGACUGGCGAUAGAACCCUACGGGUUCAAGGUGGAACAACCCACCGUGAAGCGCGGGGCUCCGUUUUGCCGUUCGCCUGGGCAGCUGUG
rnacentral:ncRNA from 2 species